rnacentral:rRNA from 1 species
UGAGGAAUAUUGGGCAAUGCCCGAAAGGGUGACCCAGCAACGCCGCGUGGAGGAUGAAGGUCGUAAGAUUGUAAACUCCUGUUAGAGGGGAAGAAUAACUAAGUUUGGAGCUUAGUAUGACUGUACCCUCAGAGAAAGCCCCGGCUAACUACGUGCCAGCAGCCGCGGUAAUACGUAGGGGGCAAGCGUUGUCCGGAUUUACUGGGUGUAAAGGGCGCGCAGGCGGAAUGGAAAGUCAGUGGUGAAAUCCUACAGCUUAACUGUAGAACUGCCUUUGAUACUUUCAUUCUUGAGUUCGGGAGAGAGAGACGGAAUUCCAGGUGUAGUGGUGAAAUACGUAGAUAUCUGGAAGAACACCAGUUGCGAAGGCGGUCUCUUGGUCCGAUACUGACGCUGAGGCGCGAAAGCGUGGG